GGCACCGUGCCGUGGGGCGCCCACCCCGCCCACCCUGGGAAACGGAGGCCUUGGAGAGCGGAGCGGGUGCCGCACACGGGGCGGGGGAGUUGGGGGGGGGGAAUGGGGAGAGUGAGCUGCCCGUUUGGGGAGAUAAGCAAGUUGCAGAGCCCAGACUGCAUCGGACCCUUCGGACUGUGAUUCCAACGCUCUCCUCGCUCACCUCUUCUGCCGAGAGCGUUGUUGGCGUCUGGCGCAAAGCAAGCGCUCAAAAAUGUCAUCGGUCCUCGGUAUUGUUGGGGUCAGCAGCGACAUGAAGGGGAUAUUGGGGUUACAGAAAAACGUCUCGAGGAACCGGAGGCCUCCUGGUGGAGCCUGCCUGGGGUCAACCCAGCUGUGCCAGGAGUUCCUCCCCCGUGGCUGGCAGCGUGGGCUUUGACCUCGGGCACCGGUUAGGAGCAGGGGGGACUAGCCCCUUCCUUCCACCAGCCUGAAGCCAGUUGGUAGCCACACCAUCAGACCGGACUCCAGAAUGACCCAGUCCCUCACCCUCCAGACUUCUGUCGACUUGAUUCCAGAAACUCUCUGACACCCCAGGCCACCUGCCUGGUGUAUGCAGGCAUCUCCAGCCCACACCCAGCUCAACUGGCACCAUUUUUGUGAAGCCUUCUCGGAUGCACCCGCCCUUCUCGGAGGCAGACCGUGCUUCUAUGCCCUGAAAAGACCCCUUGUCGGAGGCACCCGCUCUCUGUCUCACCGCGUGAUGGCUGUGGACCUGGCCUUGGUGACUGAGCCUGUCAGCCUGCCUGGGAAGGAGGGCAGUCCCGAUGAUGUGGGAAACAAAGGCAGAAGAAAAAUUAUUAAAUUUCCUUAUACCUACAGCCCCUUGACAAGCCCUUGAAACAGGUAGGGUGACAUUCCUCCAGGGACUCAGCGGCCUCAAUGAUGAUACUUUACUAAGGACAAGAGACAAUCUUAGCCCGACCCCCAGGACCCUGUACGCCUACUCUGACAUAUAAAAAUUCCUUUGGAAACUUCCUUUAUCCCUACCCCCCAAGAUAUGUUGGCAAUCACCCCCCAAUCAUAUGACCCACCGAUACACAUCUGAAGGGUCUCAUGACUGAGGAUUUAUUAGAUGGUAAUAAAUGACCUUUUCCCAAUAAUAGUCACCCCCUCAAGGUCCUGGAAACCUUGCUUCCAAAAUUCCUUAGAGACUUAUGCUGUCCUUAACCCCUCCCAGCUUGCAAGUAUAUGAUGGGCCACUCCUCAUGACCCCAGUGCAGCUCUUCCUGCCCCCAGGGCCUGUCCCUGUGCUUUAAUAAACCACCU